AGUGAACGCUGGCGGCAGGCCUAACACAUGCAAGUCGAACGGCAGCACAGGAGAGCUUGCUCUCUGGGUGGCGAGUGGCGGACGGGUGAGGAAUACAUCGGAAUCUACCUUGUCGUGGGGGAUAACGUAGGGAAACUUACGCUAAUACCGCAUACGACCUUCGGGUGAAAGCAGGGGACCUUCGGGCCUUGCGCGAUUAGAUGCGCCGAUGUUGGAUUAGCUAGUUGGCGGGGUAAAGGCCCACCAAGGCGACGAUCCGUAGCUGGUCUGAGAGGAUGAUCAGCCACCCUGGAACUGAGAAACGGUCCAGACUCCUACGGGAGGCAGCAGUGGGGAAUAUUGGACAAUGGGCGCAAGCCUGAUCCAGCCAUGCCGCGUGGGUGAAGAAGGCCUUCGGGUUGUAAAGCCCUUUUGUUGGGAAAGAAAAGCAGUCGGCCAAUACCCGAUUGUUCUGACGGUACCCAAAGAAUAAGCACCGGCUAGCUUCGUGCCAGCCGCCGCCGUAAUAC
rnacentral:rRNA from 1 species